CACAUUUACGCCAGCAAGAGCUCUUUCCAAUAGAAGCCCGGUUGGCAGCCAAGAAACGUGGCAAAAAAAAAAACGGAGAACCAGGUCAACAACAGGAACAACAUGAGCAACAAUUUUGAAACAAUGAAAUGGCGACAACGACAGAAGCGGCAGGGCAUGCCUGGAAAAUUGCUUGAAAUGCUCAGAAGCCAUAGUGGGAGAGAGGAUGGGGGAGAGAGUCGGAAAAGUGGGUGGAUGGGGGUUGGCAUUCCAACAUGUGACGCACGUGACAAAACUUGUCAAGUGACUUUACUUCACUUUGACUGCGAAUCCCGGCUCUGUUGUCCGUAAACAAGAAGACGGAAUCCCAGCUGGGAAGAAAAAUAGGUUUGUGUGCAUUGCCCAACACAAAAUGCUUAAGAAAACUCUACUGUCGGUAAAAUAAUAAAAAGAGGGGCAGAAAGGAAAAAUCAGUCGCGGCUUGGCUUCUCCAACUUGUUGCGCCUUUGGCUAAAUUAUGACAUCGAGAGUUUCUGGGCAUGGGAAGUCCUUGGAGACGCACUGAAGUAUUUUUGGAGGAGCAAUGGAGUGGAAUUUUAUGAGACACACAAACAAUCAGGAGCGGUUCUAUGAAUUAUAAUUCUGAACCAGAAUCAUAUUAGAGGUCCCAGAUUAAUAUAAGAUAAAAUAUGGACAAAUAAUCCAAAAUCAGGCCAUGAAAUACAACAUAGAAGGCCAUGAAAUCAAAGUUAAAACUGUGGAACUUGGGUAACCAAGCGAGUGGGUUGAGCUCAUUCUCGUUUCGGUUCUCUAACAGCAAACAUCUAUUUGGAAGACUACCAAAUUUCUGGGACUGAAAAUCCUACUUCCGUAAUCAGGCUAAUAGAAUAAAAUGUGCAAUCCAGGAAUGUGUUCAAUGCCCGGCACUUGCUGUGGACCGACUGGCGGACUGGGACCCUGUUUGCUCUGCGGACCCUAUAAUGGCCAGUGGUUCCGCUCGAUCAAUCACUGCUGUGGUCCUUGUGGACCAUAUGGAUGCUGCUCGUGCUACGGGCCCCAUGGAGGACAUUGUUAGCCUGCUUAGAAGGAAUGUAGGGUUUCUUUAUCCGUGAUCUGGAACAGGAGCUUGAAGGAGUACAACCACGAAGAGACAUUCUACAGAGAUGUCAAGCGAGGUGGAUCCGAAAAUUUGUGUUUAAUGAAAUAUGGUUGGGAUAUUGUCUAUGGACUCCCAAGAUUAUUCCAUCAACAAUAGAUGUUAAUAAAUUAUUCGUAUAUUUCAAAA